CCUACGGGGGGCAGCAGUGAGGAAUAUUGGUCAAUGGACGCAAGUCUGAACCAGCCAUGCCGCGUGCAGGAAGACGGCUCUAUGAGUUGUAAACUGCUUUUGUACGAGGGGAAACGCAGAUACGCGUAUCUGUCUGAAAGUAACGUACGAAUAAGGAUCGGCUAACUCCGUGCCAGCAGCCGCGGUAAUACGGAGGAUUCAAGCGUUAUCCGGAUUUAUUGGGUUUAACGGGUGCGUAGGCGGUCGGAUAAGUUAGAGGGGAAAUCCCGAGGCUCACCUUCGGAAUUGCCCCUGCUACUGUUCGGCUAGAGCGUAGUUGCGGUAGGCGGAAUGUAUGUUGUAGCGG
rnacentral:rRNA from 1 species